GGCUGCUCUAUCAUGAAGGCAAGAAAAGAAGGUGGCACUUCUGCAGACAAAACCUCUCUUCUCUCAAGCUUCCAUAGAGACAAGUCUGAAAUAUAAUGAAGAUUUCAAAGUUGAUUCCAUAACUGUGUUCCUUUAACCUCAUGCAACCUCGGUGAACUCGACCCAGCCAGCCCUCACAAUGACCUUAUCAGCUCUUCCCAGCAGGAGUAUGAGUCACAAAAUGAACUAAAACCUCUUAGCACUUUCUAAUUUAGUCACUUCUGGGAGGUUGGUGCUUUUCUGGAAUAUCCUGGAAUGCUUUCUGGAAAAGUUGCUUGGUGUCAAGUUAUC